UGGAAGGUCCACCUUUUUCACCAAUUUGUCAUCCGACAAUAAAAUUCAUUAGGAAUCCUUGAUCUCUCUAGCCAAAAUAGUAAUGAAUACAUAGUUCUUUUCCAAUUUUGCCUACCUCAUUAAGCACCCUAAAGCAGGUGCCAUAUAAGUCAUUCGUAGUGAGAUUAUUAUAGCUCGGUGGAAACUGGACAUAAGCAAUUUCAUGGCCCUUCUCUUCAUCCAUGAAAAAGCACAAGGCAUCUCUCACCGAUUCUGAAUUGUUGGAGUACAUGUCACAGUCCACAUUAAGAAUGAUCGAACCGUUGCUUAUCUUUGAUGACACCCUUAUCUGUUCACCCAAAUCAUAAUCACCCGUAUAAAAAAUGAUGCAAUAGGCCGAGGUGCAUUGGAGGAAAGCUCAACUGAUUUUAUGGAUUUAGGAUUCAUGUGUGUAGAGGCUAGAGCAAAGUUUUACCAGUGAAUUCAUAGCUCCAGCUUUAAAAUUGUGGUGGUAUUGGGGUCUCUUCUCCCGGGACAAGUAUACUAGAGUUGGCAAGGAUUGGCCUUCAACAUCCACAGCCUUGUCCUCUCUCCCAUCAAUUAGUAUCUGUUAUUCUAUAUUAUAUUAGUGAAAGAUGAAGCUCACAAAUAUAAAUGUUUUGAUUUUCAAGCACCUGAACAAUGGACUGAUGAUUAUACUGUGUAGAGACAUGGUUCCACUCUUGAAAUCCUUUGUGCUCCUUUCUUAUUUCUUCUGAAACCCUGCCCAGUCUAGUGGUGGUUUCAAUUCUAUUCUUCAUGUCUUCAUACGAUUUCUACAAUGAGAAAACAGAGUAAGGUGGUGUUUGUUUUUUUAGCUUUUUGUUGAAAACCAUUUAGUUUUAGAAUUUAGGUUGUUUGUUUUUUUACUUUUUUAUGACUUAUUAUAAACUUUUACUAAAUAGAAAAAGCCAAAAUAUGUGGCUUUUUCUAAAUAGAAAAAAUAGCACAAUGGUUUUUUUUACUUUUUAAUACUUAAUAGAAAUAAAAUACUACAAAAACAAACAACCUAAUAUUUAAUACUAUUAAGUAUUAAGGUUCUAUUUAGAAUUAAGUAAAAAAACAAACACCACCUAAGUGUUACACUGGAGCCAGAAAACCGAUAAAAGGCCUUAGUUAUAAUGGUUAAAGAUGAAAAAUUCGAGCACUGUGAGUGUAAAACUUACUGCCAAAGCUACAAAGCCUAAUGAAAAAUAAUUUGGUUAAAAUUCGUUCAUGAUAGUAGUAAAAGUGACAGACUUAAUAGAAUGCAUUUUAAGAUCAGAAUCCAAGUAUAAUCCUAAAAAAAGGUUCAAACCUAAUCUGUGUUGUCUUUGAAUUCCAACAUGACUGUUCAUUAUUUGUAAUAUAAUUUAGGAAGGAAAAAUAUCUGGAAGAAUAUGGGAAGCAAUGAUCUAAGCAUGGUGGGACCAGUAUAUGGAAGAGGGCUGAGGAUGUGAUCUCUUUAUAGUCUGUAGCAGAAAACAAAUUCAAUGACAGGACAGCUUUCUUCUUCUUGCUUCUUUCUUAGGUAAUUUGAAGCGAACAAUUUGUGUACAUUGCAUCUGAGUCUUAUUCCAACUUCAUUCAAUUUUUUUUUAUAACAAAUACUAGAAAGGUGGACCACCAACUCAGAGCAGCCAUGGAAGGAUAUCCUUAGUGCAAAAUUUAAAAACUAAAAAAAUUGAAAGAGAAAAGAAUGGCAAGGAAGAAGAACCAUUAUUGGGGAGGUUGAAUGAACUCAGGGCAGCCACGGAAAUAGUGCAGAUAUGUUAAAAAUAAAUGUUCAAACGGAAAUUAAUCUUAAACUAAAAUUCAUAGAAUCCAAAGAAAAAGAAACAGAGAAAGUUAUACCUUGAUGGAGAACCGAUCUUGAGCCAUGAGAGGAUUACUAUCAUGGGGUUUGGGAUUUGUGGAAAAAUAAGCAGCAGGUGACCUUGGUUCUAUACUGAACUUCCUGCAAAAUGGUAGCCAAUGUUUUGAGAAGCAAGAGGUCUCUAACAAGGCAUAGAAGGUCAGGUCUGAGCCUCCAUCAUCAGAGAGAUAGCCGCAUAAUUUUUGUGAUGGAUAAUUAUAAGCUAUUGAUUUUCGUGCAACGAUUCUUAGUGAAAAAUUAGAAAAAAAUGAAAAGAAAACACACAGAUUUAACGUGCUUCGAAAGAUUGCCUAUGUCCAUUGGAACACGGAAGAAGACUUUCACUAUAUUUCAAUUAGGGUUACAUAAAAAGGUAUUUAUAUUAACACUCAAGUAUUGAAAUUCUAAGAAUACCCUUGAACUAUACCAUGAAAUAUAAGUUUAAAGGGCAAAUGUCGUCGCUUUGCUCCGGAAUUGACCCAUUUUUUUCCAUGUCUUUCACUCAAUAUAAGUCACAUACUACAACAUAAGCCACGAAUGAUAAAACAGUGUUGAUGACCAUGAUGGGCAGCUCUAUUCUUGGUACUGCAGUGCACACAAAUAUGCCUAUGCCUGGAAAAGCGUUCUCGUAUCUGCAAUUAAGUUUCACAAUAGGCAAUUAGCAAGUGAAGAUGGAGGCAAGAAAAGGGAGAGGAAGAGAGAAAAGAUCACCUCUGAGAGAGCCUGUCUUUGAAGGUGUAGCGAUAGAUGGGGUUCCAUCUGACGAAUUGAGUGAUGAACCAGUACAAACUGAACCACAAUUCAGCUAAAGAUAAACCCAUCCAAGCCCAUCUUCUCAGCAGUUGUCCAUCUGCAGCUGGGAAGUGAACCACCCUAUAAAUACAGAUAAAAGUGAUGCCCACCAAAACUGAUGCUGCAUAGCAUCUGAAUAGUAUACGACCCCUAGCAGCUUUUGUUUCAAAGAGAGGAAGAUAGCCAUCUUUGCCCGUUGCUUCUGUCUUUCUCUGACCACCAUGUGAUCAGCUUAUAUAAAUAGUUUGGUUUGCAUUUUUCAUUUUAUUGUUGUUAUGGUCAAAACUUUACUUUGCCGCUUUAAAUGGCAUCAAAGAAAGGAGUAAAAACAAAUUAUCCCAUCUAAGCCCACACAUCUCUAAAUUGCUUUCCUCUUGUAAAUGAACCGAGCACAAAUAGAACAAGUACCCAUAAAGGUUGAAACUGGAUUAACUGUGAAACAAGAUUUGACCCUUUUCAGCCCUUGUUUCAAACAGAGGAAGAGAAACAUCUCUCUAGCUCUCAUGCUCUCAUACUCUCCCUCUGCUGUCUCAUGCAUUACCUUAUAUAACCUGCCCACUGUUUCCUUUAAAUUCAAGAAUGUUUCUAACAAGGAGACAAGGGAUAUUCAAGGUUUAAGCAUCCUCUGCAUGCACAAACAGAGUUCAUGUGCUCAUUCUUUUUUCCUUAAAAAUUUGCAAUUUCUGGACUCUCUGGUGACACCCUGAUGAACAGGGGUUUAAGCAAGAGGCUUGUAACAAAUUAAAAUGGGUACAUGAUUAAUAUCGAAGCCUUUAUACCUGGAGAAACAUAUACUAUCCAUUAUUGAAAAUUGAAACUGCAUCAGUUAUACAUAUAUAACAGUUCUUCAGAGCCUUAUAUAAUACAUAUAAAGUUGUGGCAAAGAGACUUUGCUUACUGAUACAGUAAACUAAUACAAGGCUAUUGAACAGGCCAACAGCGCUAAAGAAACUGAUUUGUAUGUGACUGAUGUUGGCAUGGUGCCCUUGUCCUUGCGGAAAAAGAGCCCUUGGUAUACAGGCAGGUUGAUGAGAACAAGAACCCCACAUAAGAUAAUCUGCAGAACUAAUGACUCCAAAGGUUUAAUUUGAAUAUCCACAACCACCCUCUUUACACCACAAACAAAACUGAACAGAUUGAGCAAUGCAAGUGUAGCUGAAAUGGUAAACAGUGGUGAAGGAGAACCAAACUCCAUGAUUUCUUGCUCGUAUCUUUGAGACACAUCUUCAUCACACACCUUUGCAGUGACAGCAAAAGUGGUCUCAGCAAAGCCUAGUAUCCUCAAGAUUGUAUCAAGGAAGGCAAAGAAGUAGGAAGUUGUCCUUCUGAACAUCCAUAUUCUUUGAUCAUUCCACCAACCUUGGAUUGUGCCACCAUACCAAUGAAACUCACCUAAGCUGUAUGCAUGCUUGGCAAUAAUGACAUAGGCAAAGGGAAGGACCCACAGGCUCCAUAUCUGAAAAAGUAACAUAAUUCAUUGCUGGGAACCAAAUAGCAUUUCAAUUGUUUGGAUACAGCAAAGUGUCAUGUCAGGACUUCUCUUUCUAAAAUGGAAGAAGAAAAGCACAUAGUUCUUUUCGAAGUAUUUAGGAAAAUCUAUCAUGUUCAGAAACUAAAUUUAUUGAGAAUAAUUUGAGAAAUUUUGCUAGCUAGUGAUCAUACAUUAUAGAACAAUGUUGCCUGUGCUUGACAGUAAGUAUUUUGCAGUUCUGUACUACUCAAAAGUUUUUAAGUUUGGAAGUAUCUGUUUAAAUGAUGUAAUGUUCAUACCUCUGGAAACAAGGAGAUGCCUCCAAGGAGACAAAGGGAUGGGACAGCAACAUAGCAUAGCAUAGCCAAGGAGUAUGCAGCCCACAGAUUAUAGAUAGAGUAUGCGAGUUGAAGUUUCAGAGGAACCUUUUUGUGUCCAUAUAUAAAUGGACAGUGUCUCGAGAGAAACAUCUGAAGGUGGCCUUCAGACCAUCUCUUAUGUUGUACUAGUGACUGCAACAGUGUUGUGGGCGCAACACCCAAGAAGCCCUUCCUUUCUGGAUUGACAUAGACGGAUUUCCAACCUCUACAUUGUAUUGAGAAUCCUGUGAUAAUGUCUUCCACUGCACAAUCAUACUUCACGCCCAUCUGCAAUUCAACAUAAAGAUUAAGUUUUUUAGCUUAAGAAAAGGAAAAAGCUUUACAGGCAGGAAAUUCAUGAGACAGAGACAGAAGAACCUCCUUUCCCCAUUGACUGUUCUCUUCAUAGGUACAACUUGCAAGGACCUUACAUGAUUCUUCUAGUACACUAGCACUUUCUCUUCCUCUUCUGUCAUUCUCUUUCUUCCAUUCUCUCUCACAUUCCUUGUCAUAUUUCAUUCCACACAGUGCCACUCUCCUAUGAAAGCACCCGGUACCAAUAUAGAAAGGUCCUCCAUUAGAAUCAAGGCCUGGAAGUUCCACCUUUUUCACCAGUCAUGCCAAAAGCCAACAAUAAAAUCAUUAGGAAGUCAUUGCUAAUGCCUACCUCCUCUAGGCCAAGCAGUAAGGAAUAAAUAAUUCUUUCCAAUCUUGCCUACCUGAAUAAUCACCCUAAAGCAGGUGCCAUAUAAGUCAUUCCUAGUAAGAUUAUCGUAGCACUGUGGAAACUGGACAUAAGCAAUUUCAUGGCCCUUCUCUUCAUCCAUGAAAAAACACAGAGCAUCUCUCACUGAUUCUGAAUUGUUGGAGUACAUGUCACAGUCCAC
rnacentral:lncRNA from 1 species